AUCAACUAACUUUCAGCGUAAUUCAAAUAAGGUACAGCCUAUUUGAAACAGGAUACAACCUAGACUAAUGGAUAAGAUUAGCCCAGCAUACAACCAAGUGGGCCUAAAAGCAGCCAUCUUCAAAAUUGCGUCAAAGCUUAGUUGUUCUCACGCCUAAUAUCUUAAUUUUUAUCUUAAUCCUUAAUCAGUACUGAGUAAUUCUAUAAUUUUAUAGAACAUUUUAUGUUAAAACUAGUAACAAGAAGAAGACCCUUCUCUUAAAUGUAAGUGUAAAUCAGAAAGGACUAACCACUGAUAAUUAACACCCCUGAACUCAAAGUAGUAACUAACCAAGAGAAUCCUACUUUAAUUAAUGUUAACUUAACACAAAGACAUUUUAAGAAAGAUUAAAAGAAAAAGAAGGAACUCGGCAAAUAUUAACCUCGCCUGUUUACCAAAAACAUCGCCUCUUGACCCCCAUAAGAGGUCCAGCCUGCCCAGUGACUCUGUUCAACGGCCGCGGUAUCCUAACCGUGCGAAGGUAGCGUAAUCACUUGUUCUUUAAAUGUGGACUAGUAUGAAUGGCACCACGAAGGUUAUACUGUCUCCUUUUUCCAAUCAGUGAAACUAAUCUCCCCGUGAAGAAGCGGGGAUAAAACUAUAAGACGAGAAGACCCUAUGGAGCUUUAAACAAUAUAGCACUUGCCACAAAAAGUAAAAAUUUCCUAAUUACUAAAUUUUCAAAGCAACAUGACUAUGAGUUUUUGGUUGGGGUGACCGCGGAGCAUAAUACAACCUCCAUGCUGGAAGAAUCUUUUUCUAAGCUAAGAACUACUCAUCUAAGCAUCAACAUAUUGACAUCCAUUGACCCAAUAUACUUGAACAACGAACCAAGUUACCCUAGGGAUAACAGCGCAAUCCACUUCAAGAGCUCCUAUCGACAAGUGGGUUUACGACCUCGAUGUUGGAUCAGGGUUCCCCAGUGGUGCAGCCGCUACUAAC
rnacentral:rRNA from 1 species